GUAGGGAAUAUUGGACAAUGGGGGCAACCCUGAUCCAGCGACGCCGCGUGAGUGAUGAAGGCCUUCGGGUCGUAAAGCUCUGUUGCAGGGGAAGAACACAAUGACGGUACCCUGCUAGAAAGGAUCGGCUAACUUCGUGCCAGCAGCCGCGGUAAGACGAGGGAUCCUAGCGUUGUUCGGAAUUAUUGGGCGUAAAGCGGGUGCAGGUGGCUUGGUAAGUCAGAUGUGAAAGCCUGGGGCUUAACCCCAGAAGUGCAUUUGAUGCUGCUGAGCUUGAGUGCUGGAGAGGCUAUUAGAAUUCCUGGUGUAGUGGUGAAAUACGUAGAUAUCAGGAGGAAUACCGGAGGCGAAGGCGGAUAGCUGGCCAGACACUGACACUCAGACCCGAAAGCGUGGGGAUCAAACAGGAUUAGAAACCCGGGUAGUCC
rnacentral:rRNA from 1 species